UACGAAGGGGGCUAGCGUUGUUCGGAUUUACUGGGCGUAAAGGGCUCGUAGGUGGCCAACUAAGUCAGACGUGAAAUCCCUCGGCUUAACCGGGGAACUGCGUCUGAUACUGGAUGGCUUGAGUGUGGGAGAGGGAUGCGGAAUUCCAGGUGUAGCGGUGAAAUGCGUAGAUAUCUGGAGGAACACCGGUGGCGAAGGCGGCAUCCUGGACCAUUACUGACACUGAAUAGCGAAAGCCAGGGGAGCAAACGGG
rnacentral:rRNA from 1 species